rnacentral:rRNA from 1 species
GACGAACGCUGGCGGCGUGCUUAACACAUGCAAGUCGAACGGAAAGGCCCUGCUUUUGUGGGGUGCUCGAGUGGCGAACGGGUGAGUAACACGUGAGUAACCUGCCCUUGACUUUGGGAUAACUUCAGGAAACUGGGGCUAAUACCGGAUAGGAGCUCCUGCUGCAUGGUGGGGGUUGGAAAGUUUCGGCGGUUGGGGAUGGACUCGCGGCUUAUCAGCUUGUUGGUGGGGUAGUGGCUUACCAAGGCUUUGACGGGUAGCCGGCCUGAGAGGGUGACCGGCCAAAUGGGACUGAGAUACGGCCCAGACUCCUACGGGAGGCAGCAGUGGGGAAUAUUGCACAAUGGGCGGAAGCCUGAUGCAGCAACGCCGCGUGCGGGAUGACGGCCUUCGGGUUGUAAACCGCUUUCGCCUGUGACGAAGCGUGAGUGACGGCAAUGGGUAAAGAAGCACCGGCUAACUACGUG